rnacentral:lncRNA from 1 species
UAGACAUUACAUUCCUCAAUUGUUAACCUUGUGAACACGUAUACUGACUCUCACGCCUGAGCUAUCCCCCGACGGAACAGCCGUCAAGCUUGUGGUGUUUACCGUGUUUACUGUGCAGGAUCAGGGCGUCUUACGUGAUUGGGACGUGGCAGAAGAUCUUGGCGUUAACAUUGGCGCUAGAAGGAGGGCUUUUGAGUUCUAGUGUCAUUGAAACUUUCAAUCACAAUCGUUUAACCUACUUCGGAAGAUGAUGAGGAGUAGGGAUGGUACGCCAGAAGGGCAG